GACGAACGCUGGCGGCGUGCUUAACACAUGCAAGUCGAACGGAAAGGCCCUGCUUUUGUGGGGUGCUCGAGUGGCGAACGGGUGGGUAACACGUGAGUAACCUGCCCUUGACUUUGGGAUAACUUCAGGAAACUGGGGCUAAUACCGGAUAGGAGCUCCUGCUGCAUGUUGGGGGUUGGAAAGUUUCGGCGGUUGGGGAUGGACUCGCGGCUUAUCAGCUUGUUGGUGGGGUAGUGGCUUACCAAGGCUUUGACGGGUAGCCGGCCUGAGAGGGUGACCGGCCACAUUGGGACUGAGAUACGGCCCAGACUCCUACGGGAGGCAGCAGUGGGGAAUAUUGCACAAUGGGCGGAAGCCUGAUGCAGCAACGCCGCGUGCGGGAUGACGGCCUUCGGGUUGUAAACCGCUUUCGCCUGUGACGAAGCGUGAGUGACGGUAAUGGGUAAAGAAGCACCGGCUAACUACGUG
rnacentral:rRNA from 1 species